rnacentral:tRNA from 1 species
GGGGAUGUAGCUCAGGUGGGAGAGCGGUACGUUCGCAACGUACAGGCCAGGGGUUCGAAUCCCCUCAUCUCCACCA